CCGAAGGUGACAGCGCCGCC
rnacentral:misc_RNA from 1 species